UGAGACUUCGUGGUGGUAGGAAAAGGAAG
rnacentral:piRNA from 1 species